UUCUAACGCUAAACUAUUUUCUGG
rnacentral:tRNA from 1 species